CGAGCAGAAGAAUGCCACCGAUCGACAGAAACAGAGCUGCGCUGGCGGUUAUGAUCUGGCAUUGCUCUUGUUUUCCCAUGGAUGCUGUGAACGCGACGCGAUGGACCGUGUAGAAAUGAUAGCGACCACAUUUGUUGAUGCAGCAAGUUGGGAAGAUGGUUUUGAGGUUCCAUUGCUCCUAUCAGAAGGCUGUAAGAAAAGGGUUGAAAAGAUGUUCAGCAGCUGGAUGCGUUUAUUAUGGGAUGGUCAAACAAAUAAGUUACAAAGUCUUUGUAAGCAGCUGUCACAUCUUUGCUUUCGGCUGGUCUGUCUGAAGAAAGCCUCUGCUCAUUCAUGUCAAACAGCACACCGUAUUCUGUGUCUUGACAUAUUCUGGAAACAAUGAAGCACUGGUAGUCCACAGUAACAGCAACGCCAUUCCAGACAGGGCCACGAUUGUAAAUUGACCAGCAGGAGGCGCUUAUUGUUCAGGCAGGAUCCCUUCUGACAGCUCUCAUGAUUUAUAUUUGACAGAGAUAUCCUCAGCAAAGAUAUGAGUGCUGAUGUGAAUGAAGAGACAUUGGGAAAUCUUUUGUUUGAGCUGGGAUCUCUAUUGUACACAUUGUACAAGAACUGCACAGAUUCAUACAAGGUGGAAGCUGAGGGAAAACAAGUGGUAGGGUCAAAGGUGAGAAUUACACCAUUAUUGCAGUAUUGCUUUGACUCAUUUUAUAUAAAAGAUCAAUCUUGGACACAUUCCUGGUUUCACAAAAAAAGGCCUAAGGCUAGACCCAGACUAAACUGUCAGAGCCCUUCUGAGCGGUAACUCAUGAAUUCUUUGGAAUACAGACAAAGAAAAAAGAAAAGUAGCUGAUUUAUUGCAAAAAAAAUCUGAUUGGUGACAGUUAACUGGCUACCUGAAAAUAAUUUGCAAUGACAGGUCAUAAAACAGGUCAGUGCCAUUUUUUUGACUCAAGAUUCACACUAGCAUAGUUUUACUAGAGCAUUUUUUAUAAAAGCUACUUAAAUAUACUUAUUAAACUGAGGCCUAGUCCUGGCAUAAAGGGAUACUUCAGCCAAAAAUGAAAAUUCUGUCAUCAUUUAUUCACUUUCCAGUUGUUCCAAAUCUAUAUAAAUUCUUUGUUCUGAUGAACACAGAGAAAGAUAUUUGGAAAAAUGCUUAUAACCAGACAGAUUUGACUCCCAUUGUAGGAAAAAUUAGGCCUACUUUAUCUUUAUUUUUGUUCUUCAAAAAAGAAGACAUUUUGAAGAAUGUAAGACAGCAAACAGUUCUGAGGCACUUUUGACUACCGUUGUUCUUUUCCCUACUAUGGUAAUAAUAGUAAUAAGUAAGUGCUUGUCAACUAUGCUUUGUUUUUGAAUAAUGAAUGUAGACACAAUGUUUUAAUGUAAUACAUUUUGUUCUUAAUGGCAACCCCAUGAAAUAUUCGCAGUAAGCAGACAGUCACACACCCUGAAAUACAUUUGAAUCCUGAUACAAUCACCAGAAGCUGUUUACUGUAUAUAUCUGUAACAAAUCUCAAUACAAUGGAAGGAAGGAGGCGGGAACCGGCAGACAUUAAACACAAAAUUUUAAUAUAAAUAAUAACAGCCGGCGGCCCCUCACGGACGACCGCCGGCGAAAUAACAUAAACAACAAAUAUAAAUAUAAAUACAAACAUAACACAAGUUCGGGCCCGGUCCUCUCUCUUCGACGGUCCGGUCGCUCGUUCCUUUUAUAUGCUCCCAUCUCCUACGUGAUUCGAGGCCGGUGUGCGCACAGCUGGCGCUAAUUCACAAUUACUCACCGGACUCGAACCACGGUCUCGCCCAGCCUACUCUACUACAAUAUCACAUCCCUGUUUCUGGUCUGUCACGAUAUCAUAUUUCGUGGCAAAAUAAAUUGUAACAAUAUAUUAUCAUGAUAUCUUUGUUUAAAGAAAUAAAUGACACUAUCAGUCUAUUUCAUCUAUAAAUUUGUUUAUUUCUUUUGAUAUGUGUAGUAUAGACACAAUAUAUAUAUUUGUGGUUUUUAAUAUCACAGGUAUUGCCAACUCAUUACCAUAUAUUGUGACAGCGCUAGUACUCGCAUAGAAAUAUGCCCUCAAUGUGAAAGUUUGUAAGAACAACCUAAAUUAUAGAAAAUAGCCAGCAGAAGAUCUUUGCUCAAUCUUGAUGGGAUUUCUCAUAUAUCUGAUGUCUGAAACACUUGCCUCCAACUUUUUGUACUCCUAUUAAAUAAAGAUGAUAUUGAUUUGUAUUCCUUUAAACUACAAGAGGCACAGAAUGGUGAGCAUUGAAUUUAAAAGUGAUCCAGAUUUCAUUUUUCCAUUUGAUAUAUAUUUUAUUGGCACACUGGAGUAUAGCAGUUAUACAUUUUUAAACAUGUAGCUUUGUUUCCGUUCAGCUUUUGUCACAGACAGUAUUGGUGGAACGUCAAAAGCACACUUGGUGUUAGAAAACAUGGUCAAAGCAGAUUUAAACCACCUUACAAUAUUUUAAAUAAAUAGAAGAAAAAAAAGUUGUUUUGUAUACAACAGUGAACAGGCCUGGUUACAUUUCUUUGUUUGUGGAAAAGGUGUUCAAGCCAAGUUUGUCUUUAAAUUGACCUUCAUCCCAACCAAACAACACCAUUCUUGGUGACAUCGUGCUUGCACACUUAAUGUUGGAAAUCUUACAAUUCCAAUUACAGGAAAAUAUUUUCUUUUACAUUAUGGCACAUGGCAGUGUUAACAACAUAUUUUUCUGUUUGGGUCUUAUUUGUUAUUUAUGAAUCUACAGAGAAUCUGCAGGUAUGCAUUUCAUAACAUGAUUGACUUUUACAUAAAGCAGUUCACAGUAACAUUGGACUUUUUUUAACCCAACCGAGCGGAAUAAUAUUGUCAGCAAAAACAUCUCCACUUUUCUCUUAAACAUAUAUUCAUUUCCAUAUAAAAUUAACAACAGUUACAGUACGAUAGAUAACGUUCUAAAUCUUUCAGAAUAGAUACCAAACCUUGCAAUUGUUUGCUUAUGUCAAACAUAUAUAGUGUUCCAAAGCUUUUAUUAACCUAUUAUUGGUCAUUAUGCUUUUAAAGGUCCACCGAAAUAGACAACUGUUUUAUCAAUUAUCCAUGUAACUAGCCCACAGAGUAAACGCUGAUAGGACACAAACAAUGGAAAUUGCAUCUAGUGUUAUUAUUACAUACAGACCAAAUAAACUACUGCUAUAUAUCAUAUGAUGACAUAGUGAAAUACAUAUAAUGCAAAGAACGGUUCGCUUUGUAGCUGGAGGAUGCUACCAACUUUACACAGUGACAAAAAUUAUUACAGGGAAUUUUAAGCAGGUGAAACUGUAAAACAGCUCAAAAGAUCCUGUAAUAAUAGCUGCUUCAUUACAUUUACGCCACUCUUUAGCAUUACCCAAUAAUCCUGCUUGAUAUUUUUACAGUUUUACAAGAAAGGUUUGUUUAUAAACAAGGUCAGAUGUGCUACAUAUAGCCCCUGUCUUGAUUGACCCCAUAUUAUUUGCCAAUUUCCAGAUAUUUAUCAUUCAAAAAUCGAGUCAUUUUCUCUUUACAAAAGGUAAAAAUCUAAACAAAAGAAUAAAUAUAGUAGAGAAAAAAAAGAAAGUCAAAAAUCCACAGUAUGUUCGACCACUUCUGGCAUGUGUGUUUUGUAACGGCAGUAAAGAGAGAGGACAUGUGUACAGAGUGCAACAAUGAUCAAAAUGUGCCAACUUUAAACUUACAGUAUUAUUCAUAGUUCCAACCUAACCUUUCCAUUGUCUAUUCUAAAUACAUGACGAGUUUAUAUUUAUACGUGUGCACUAACAAUUUGCCUUUCGAAUGAGAAAGCACCACAACUACCACAAUUCAGUGUUGAGAUAAGCUACAUAUAUCUUCGGUGGAGGUAGAAAGACAUAAUACAUAUGCAUGUAACAUAAUUAUGUCUGCAUUAAUAAAAUGUAAAAAUAAACAGAUCAUUAUUUAGUCUGAUGCUGACCCAAUGUGGUGUAACAGAACUCUAAAUGUAUAUUUACAUAUUUCACAAAACGUCUUCAGAUAUGUGCAAAAGAUUCUAAAAAGUGAAGCACUUUGUGUGUGUAUUUUAUGUUUUUGUCUGUGUGUGUUUUUAUUGGUCGGGGUAAGAUCAACCGUGUGGCAGUGCGAAUUUGCUCCAAUUUGGCACAGUGUGUCCAUAAGAGUUUCAUGUCCAGUCUGUUUACAUGAAUGCUGAGAGUUUUUGUUUGAAUGAAGGUGCUGUUGGCUCAGGUGGGGGACGAAGCAGCAGCUAUGGAACAGCAGGUUUGUUUCAGAGCCAACCAGCCAGAUUCUCCUGCCUCACAGCCUGCAAGUCUCUCUUUCUGCCUGUCAAAU